rnacentral:lncRNA from 1 species
CUGUUUGUGGAUGAAUGAUAAAAGCAGGUGACGUCUUCCAGCAUCUUCCUAUGUGUUUUCUCUUUGUAUUCUGGUUGCUACGGCGACGUCGACUCACCUCUUGGUGUGAUUCUUGGGUUUGGAGAGGGCCGGCGCUUUGGGCACGGGGAGGGGCUCCUUCAGCGCCCCCUUCAGGCUGUUGUGGAGUUCAGCUAAAAUUCAGCAUCUUCAGUUCUAACAUCAUCAACGGCCAAAUUUAGCUUCCAGCAUUCACACGAGCAUUAUUGCAGGUAAUGCUAUAUAUCUACGUCAUAAUUAUCUUAAAAAGCAUAAUUAUGUUACACAGCAUUACAUUUUAAAAUGUUACUUUCAGAAAACUUUCAAUGGAUUUGACGAAAAAUCAACAGAGGAGGAAGAAACCUCCUCUUCCUCCUCCUCCUCCUCCUCCUCCUCUGGCUCCUCACUGACUUGUUGUGGAAGUCGUAGAUCUCCUGCAUGUUCCCGAACACGAUCAGCUCCUUGUUGGCGAUGCCUGGAGGAAUCUCCUCGCCGCCGGAGGUCAUCUCACACAGGUAGGUCUGUCAGAAAGAGAGGCGGGGCUUAGCGUGGACGCGUGCAUGACGGCAGCGGGACAGAGACGGCGUCUCCUCACCUCCAAACACUCCUGCAGGUCUCUGACGUAAGCCUUCUCCGUCUGCAGGAGCUCCGCCAUGAUGAACCUGCAAAGUUAACCGACAAACUCAGACGCACAAACGCCUUUCAGGUUUCAUCUAUAAAAUAUAUAAACAUUUAUUUGACUUUUUUUAAUGAUUAAAAUCUCAUUUUUUUAUUUGUCUUCAGUAUUUGAUUCCUGCGUCCUCACUCUUUCUUCCGGGCGGACUUCCUCUUCUCCUCGUUGACCUCGUGGUUGGGGUCGCGCAGUUUGACCUCUGGGUCGUCUGUCAGGCUGGCAGGCAUGAUCUCCAGCUCCAAAUCUUUAUUGUCCUGUGAGGAGAAGCAGAUUUCCCAACCACAGAGUAUAAACUUAUAAACUUUUUGAGUCCGUUUGAGUUUUGUUUGAUGAAACUGACAAAUAAGACUCAA